GAUGAAACGCUGGCGGCGUGCCUAAUACAUGCAAGUCGAACGAGGUGCUUGAGUAGCAAUACGAGAGUAUCCUAGUGGCGAAACGGGUGAGUAACGCGUUGGUGACCUACCCCAAAAGUGUGGGAUAACAGUUCGAAAGGACUGCUAAUACCGCAUGUGGUUAUUGGAUUUAGAAACUGAUAACUAAAAGGAGCAAUUCGCUUUGGGAGGACCUGCGUCCCAUCAGCUAGUUGGUGAGGUAAUGGCUCACCAAGGCUACGACGGGGUAGGGGACCUGAGGAGGGUCGACCCCCCACAAUGGAACUGAAACACGGUCCAUACACC
rnacentral:rRNA from 1 species